AUGCGAAAUCUUGAUAAGCUUAUUAAAGGUGAUCAUAUCCUUGGAGCAAAAGAUGUUAUAUUUGACAAGGAUAGACUUUGUAGUGCUUGUCAAGCAGGAAAACAAGUUCGAGGAAGUCACCCCGUGAAGAACAUCAUGACCACGAGAAGACCGCUUGAGCUACUUCACAUGGAUCUCUUCGGUCCCAAUGCCUACAAGAGUCUCGGUGGUAACUCAUUUGGUCUAGUCAUAGUCGAUGAUUUUUCAAGAUUUACGUGGGUGUUCUUUUUUGAUGAUAAAUCGCAGGUCCAAAAGAUCUUCAAAAACUUCGCUAGGAAAGCCCAAAAUCAAUUUGAAGUGAAGAUCAAGAAGGUUCGGAGCGACAACGGAACAGAGUUCAAGAACGCAAAUGUGGAUAUCUUUCUUGAUGAAGAAGGGAUUUCACACGAGUUCUCGACUACGUACACGCCUCAACAAAAUGGAGUUGUUGAGAGGAAGAACCGAACUCUUAUUGAGAUGGCAAGAACGAGGCUUGAUGAGUACAAGACUCCAAAACACUUCUGGGCGGAAGCGGUUGGGACAGCUUGUCAUGCAACAAAUCGCUUGUAUCUUCACAAGCUACUCGGCAAGAUGGUAUACGAGCUCCUCACCGGUAACAAACCCCAAGUUGGAUACUUUUGA
rnacentral:rRNA from 1 species